CCGCCAUUAGCUCACCAGGAAAGACCGCCAGCCUCCAAAGCUGGCUGCGCGGGGUUCAAGCCCCCGAUGGCGGCCCA
rnacentral:tRNA from 1 species